rnacentral:rRNA from 1 species
ACGGGUGAGUAACGCGUGGGUAACCUACCCUGUACACACGGAUAACAUACCGAAAGGUAUGCUAAUACGGGAUAAUAUAUUUGAGAGGCAUCUCUUAAAUAUCAAAGGUGAGCCAGUACAGGAUGGACCCGCGUCUGAUUAGCUAGUUGGUAAGGUAACGGCUUACCAAGGCGACGAUCAGUAGCCGACCUGAGAGGGUGAUCGGCCACAUUGGAACUGAGACACGGUCCAAACUCCUACGGGAGGCAGCAGUGGGGAAUAUUGCACAAUGGGCGAAAGCCUGAUGCAGCAACGCCGCGUGAGUGAUGAAGGCCUUCGGGUCGUAAAACUCUGUCCUCAAGGAAGAUAAUGACGGUACUUGAGGAGGAAGCCCCGGCUAACUACGUGCCAGCAGCCGCGGUAAUACGUAGGGGGCUAGCGUUAUCCGGAUUUACUGGGCGUAAAGGGUGCGUAGGCGGUCUUUCAAGUCAGGAGUGAAAGGCCACGGCUCAACCGUAGUAAGCUCUUGAAACUGGGAGACUUGAGUGCAGGAGAGGAGAGUGGAAUUCCUAGUGUAGCGGUGAAAUGCGUAGAUAUUAGGAGGAACACCAGUUGCGAAGGCGGCUCUCUGGACUGUAACUGACGCUGAGGCACGAAAGCGUGGGGAGCAAACAGGAUUAGAUACCCUGGUAGUCCACGCUGUAAACGAUGAGUACUAGGUGUCGGGGGUUACCCCCUUCGGUGCCGCAGCUAACG